rnacentral:misc_RNA from 1 species
UGGCGGGAGCACUGCGGC